rnacentral:rRNA from 1 species
GACGAACGCUGGCGGCGUGCUUAACACAUGCAAGUCGAACGCUGAAGACCUGGCUUUUGUUGGGUUGGAUGAGUGGCGAACGGGUGAGUAACACGUGAGUAACCUGCCCUCUUCUCUGGGAUAACGUCCGGAAACGGGUGCUAAUACUGGAUAUUCUCUGAACUCCGCAUGGGGGUUGGUGGAAAGGUUUGUUGUGGUGGGGGAUGGGCUCGCGGCCUAUCAGUUUGCUGGUGGGUUGAUGGCCUACAAAGGCUUUGACGGGUAGCCGGCCUGGGAGGGUGACAGGUCAAAUUGGAACUGGGAUACGGCCCAGACGCCUACGGGAGGAGGGAGUGGGGAACAUUGCGCAAUAGGCGGAAGCAUGAUGCAGCGACGACGCGUGAGGGAUGGAGGACUGUGAGUUGUAGUCCUCUUUCAAUAAUGGUCAAGCCGCAACUGUGGGUUGUGGUGAGGGUAGUGGGUCAAGAAGCGCCGGCUAACUACGUG